GAAAUGCGAUAAGUAAUGUGAAUUGCAGAAUUCCGUGAAUCAUCGAAUCUUUGAACGCACAUUGCGCCCUCUGGUAUUCCGGGGGGCAUGCCUGUCCGAGCGUCAUUGCGAACCCCUCAAGCACGGCUUGUGUGAUGGGCCCUCCCGCGUCUUGGUCGUCAAGACUGGCCCGAAAUGCAGUGGCGGCUUCGCGGUUAUCCGAUCAGCCAGAGCGUAUGGGGACUUUCUCUCUGUCACACGCCCGCGGCGCGGACCGACGCCUGUCGACCUUUAUUCAUCUUUUUCUCGGUUGACCUCGGAUCAGGUAGGGAUACCCGCUGAACUUAAGC
rnacentral:misc_RNA from 1 species